rnacentral:rRNA from 1 species
UGGGAGGUAAAUUUCUCCUAAGGCUAAAUAACGGCGAGAGACCGAUAGCGAACAAGUACCGUGAGGGAAAGAUGAAAAGAACUUUGAAAAGAGAGUUAAACAGUACGUGAAAUUGUUGAAAGGGAAACGAUUGAAGCCAGUCGUACCUAUGGGUAAUCAGCCUUUUGGGUGUGAUUUUGUGGAGCGUGAGGAGUUAAACGCCUUCAUGCCUGCAUAUUCGUGCACUUUGGGUGUACUUGCCCGUGUGUAAGUUAACAUCAAUUUUGGUGGUCAUAAAAUGGCUGGAGGAAUGUAGCUUCGAUCUUGUAUUGAAGUGUUAUAGCCUUCGGUAGAUGUGACGAUCGGGAUUGAGGAUUGCAACGGAUACCCUUCGGGGCUACCUGUCUGAUCUCUGAUUGUUGCUCUGGUACCGAAAGCUUGCUUACGGUUAUCAAAGUCGAUGGUCAAUAGGUUAGAACGGGUUAAAUUCGUUAAGGAUGUUGACGUAAUGGCUUUAAACGACCCGUCUUGAAACACGGACCAAGGAGUCUAACAUAUAUGCGAGUGUUAGGGUGAAUAAACCCUUACGCGUAGUGAAAGUAAUUUUGGUGGGAUCACUUUUGUGCACCAUCAACC